rnacentral:tmRNA from 1 species
GGGGGCGUAAAGGUUUCGACGGGGGUUUGGAACCUGAAGUAGCGAGCCGUGUUUCUCUGGUCCACGUAAAAAACUGGGGAUUAAAUAUAAACGCAAACGAUAAUUACGCUUUAGCAGCUUAAUAACAGCUGCUCGUCCUACCUAGCUGCCCACAAGCUAGACUAGGGCGUCGACUCGGUGGGGAACUAUCUUUAGGGAGUCUCGACUAAAGAUGGACUAAUUGAGACUGGCCGAUCUUAAAGCCUUCUAUUGGGCGUUAUGUGAGGCGAGAUUCUAAAACAAUAGAUACGCUCGUAGAAGCUUCAGGGAAAGAACUUUCGGACAGGGGUUCGACUCCCCUCGCCUCCACCA